UUUCUGUUUAAAAUGUAAAAUUGGAAUCUCUUUCUUUAAAUAAAAAAAUAUUAAUACCAGUAUUAAAAUUAAUGUCCUGACAAAACUUAUAUGAUCAGUAUAGCGUCCGUCCCCCUAUGCAGAAGCAAGAGUUUGAAGCUUCAACCCAGAAAAGAUGGGUUUCCUUUUCAGAGAUGAACAGGAAAACGGUAGUGGGGACGAGUAUCUAUCCAUUUGUUCACACAAGCCGCGUAGAAUGUUGAAUUUUCUCAACAAAAACAGCCGAAUAAUUCCAAACGAAGAUCCGAAAUCGCAUUACACAAGUAUCUUCCUGAUUAAGUUCCAAUGUGCUGCCGUCUCAUGUUUACUGUCAACCAAAUACGGCGAUAAGCUACUUCUCCUCUCACUCUCACUCACGCCCUUCUUCCCCAAAAUCUCCCUCCCAUGUGUUUUUCUUAUGGUUUACUCUUUGGUCUAAUCGUUAUUUCAAUAUUAUAUGUACUUUAUCUGUCACAUGAGCAACGUACGGAGCAUGACAGCUAAUUCACCUCUGGGUUCUUCAUGUGCACCUUUUCUGUUGCCUUGUCCCUGGUCUCUUUUGGCUUUUUCUUUUAUUUUCUCUUAACCCAAUGCCCAUUUGGCUGUUUUUGAUGUUAAGAUAUAUGGGUUUUUG
rnacentral:lncRNA from 1 species